AGUGAACGCUGGCGGUAUGCCUAACACAUGCAAGUCGAACGGCAGCACAGUAAGAGCUUGCUCAUACGGGUGGCGAGCGGCGGACGGUGGAGGAAUACAUCGGAAUCCACUUUUUCGGGGGUGAUAACGUAGGGAAAUUUACUCUAAUACCGCAUACGACCUACUUGGGAAAGCAGGGGAUCUUCUGACCUUGCGCGAUUGAAAGAGCCGAUGUCGGAUUCGCUAGUUGGCGGGGUAAAGGCCCACCAAGGCGACGAUGCGUAGCUGGUCUGAGAGGAACAUCAGCCACACUGGCACUGAGACACGGUCCAGACUCCUACGGGAGGCAGCAGUGGAGACUAUUGGACGAUGGGGCAAAGCCUAAUCCAGCCAUACCGCGUGAGUGAAGAAGGCCUUCGGGUUGUAGAGCCCUUUUGUUGGGAAAGAAGAGCAGCAGGUUAACCCCCCACUAUUAUGACGGUACCCAAAGAAUAAGCACCGGCUAACUUCGUG
rnacentral:rRNA from 1 species